rnacentral:rRNA from 1 species
GGAAUUUUGGACAAUGGGCGCAAGCCUGAUCCAGCAAUGCCGCGUGAGUGAAGAAGGCCUUCGGGUUGUAAAGCUCUUUUGUCAGGGAAGAAACGGUGGACUCUAAUACAGAUCACUAAUGACGGUACCUGAAGAAUAAGCACCGGCUAACUACGUGCCAGCAGCCGCGGUAAUACGUAGGGUGCAAGCGUUAAUCGGAAUUACUGGGCGUAAAGCGUGCGCAGGCGGUUGUGCAAGACAGAUGUGAAAUCCCCGGGCUCAACCUGGGAAUUGCAUUUGUGACUGCACGGCUAGAGUGUGUCAGAGGGGGGUAGAAUUCCACGUGUAGCAGUGAAAUGCGUAGAGAUGUGGAGGAAUACCGAUGGCGAAGGCAGCCCCCUGGGAUAACACUGACGCUCAUGCACGAAAGCGUGGGGAGCAAACAGGAUUAGAUACCCCGG